rnacentral:rRNA from 1 species
UACAGAGGUCUCAAGCGUUGUUCGGAUUCAUUGGGCGUAAAGGGCGCGUAGGCUGCGGGGCAAGUCGGGUGUGAAAUCUCAGAGCUCAACUCUGAAACUGCACUCGAUACUGCUUUGCUCGAGGACUGGAGAGGAGAUUGGAAUUCACGGUGUAGCAGUGAAAUGCGUAGAUAUCAUAAGGAAGACCAGUGGCGAAGGCGGGUCUCUGGACAGUUCCUGACACUGAGGCACGAAGGUCAGGGGAGCAAACGGG